GUGCUCGCUUCAAGCAGCACAUAUACUAAAAUUGGAACGAUACAGAGAAGAUUAGCAUGGC
rnacentral:snRNA from 1 species